rnacentral:tRNA from 1 species
AAUGAAUUGCCUGACUAAAAGGGUUAUCUUGAUAGGAUAAAUUAUAUAAUGUAAAUUAAAUUAUAU